rnacentral:misc_RNA from 1 species
GAUGAAGAACGCAGCGAAAUGCGAUAAGUAAUGUGAAUUGCAGAAUUCAGUGAAUCAUCGAUUCUUUGAACGCACAUUGCGCCCCUUGGUAUUCCGAGGGGCAUGCCUGUUCGAGCGUCAUUUUGACCACUCCCGCUUGCGGGGUCUUGGGCCUUCGCCUCUGGGCGGGCCUUAAAAUCAGUGGCGGUGCCGUCCGGCUCUAAGCGUAGUAAAUCUCCUCGCUAUAGGGUUCCGGAGGGAUGCUGGCCAACAACCCCCAACUUUUAAGGUUGACCUCGGAUCAGGUAGGGAUACCCGCUGAACUUAAGCAUAUCAAUAAGCGGAGGA